CAGGAUUAGCUCAACACUGAAGAACUAUUUGUAUGGUCAGAACUACUGUUAAUGGUCCUGACUCCGGAACUACCAACUUGGGCACUGCAGUGUUAAGUUGCCUGUUGAGAGUUGCAGUGGAAACCAAUGAAGACAGACUGGUAUUAAUCUCUCAAACUAUUGAUGAAUGGAGCUCCAAAUAUGCAGGUCACAUUAUGGGUGCUGUACCACUGAGCCUCUCUCUGCCCCAUUGAGGUUAAACUGAAAUCAUUGGGAAUAAAUGUUUUUGAGAGCUCUGAGGUAGUUAAUGCCUGGAAUGGAAGUUGACUUUGAAGACAUUGAUAAGUUGCAGCCUGAUAUUGAAGAAUAUGUGAAGAUGUACUGGAAUCCUAAAUGUGGCAUCCAGAAAAUUACAAUAGUUUCAUAAAACUUACCCUUUGUUUACUAGCUCUUAUAAUAAGGGAGUGCAUGCAAUAAAGAUGUACACUGGUGCCUCGGGAUA